rnacentral:rRNA from 1 species
GACGAACGCUGGCGGCGUGCUUAACACAUGCAAGUCGAGCGGUAAGGCCCUUUCGGGGGUACACGAGCGGCGAACGGGUGAGUAACACGUGGGUGACCUGCCCUCAGCUCUGGGAUAAGCCUGGGAAACUGGGUCUAAUACCGGAUAUGACUCCAUGACGCAUGUUGUGGGGUGGAAAGCCUUGUGCGGCUGAGGAUGGGCUCGCGGCCUAUCAGCUUGUUGGUGGGGUGAUGGCCUACCAAGGCGACGACGGGUAGCCGGCCUGAGAGGGCGACCGGCCACACUGGGACUGAGACACGGCCCAGACUCCUACGGGAGGCAGCAGUGGGGAAUCUUGCGCAAUGGGCGAAAGCCUGACGCAGCGACGCCGCGUGAGGGAUGACGGCCUCGG